UACAGAGGGUGCGAGCGUUAUUCGGAAUUACUGGGCGUAAAGCGCAUGUAGGUGGAGAAUCAAGUCAGGUGUGAAAUCCCGGGGCUUAACUUCGGAAUGGCACUUGAGACUGAUUUUCUAGAGUCUGGGAGAGGGAAGUGGAAUUUCAGGUGUAGAGGUGAAAUUCGUAGAUAUCUGAAGGAACACCGGAGGCGAAGGCGGCUUCCUGGUCCAGAACUGACACUCAGAUGCGAAAGCGUGGGUAG
rnacentral:rRNA from 1 species